rnacentral:misc_RNA from 1 species
AUUGAUGUACUAAAAGUAUAACGAAGGGUAUAUGCAUAUCAUUUAUGAUAGUUUGGAAAUAUAUUUAUCUUUUUUCCUAUAAUAAUAUUACUAAUAUUCGUAUUAGUGACAAUGAUGGAGCCAGAAACCUUUCCUCGGAUGACGUAAAAAGACAACAAAAUUAUUAGUUUUACUGUAUUUUUACCCCAGAUUAAAGAAAUGUGGAUUUUAUUAGAAAAGUUAUUGGGUAUCUAAUUCACUGUCAACUUAUUGUUAUAGAGUUAAUCUUAUCUAAUUAGGCUCUCGUAUAGUAAUGUACAGUUGCACACGAUCAAGAUUUUCAAUGAUGGAUGAGCACAAAAGUGUUAGAGUCUUAAAUCAACGGAUAGUUAGCUCUUGAAGUUAAACUAGUUUUUGCAUUAUUUUAACUCGAUUGAUUCGAUAAAUCUAUCUAUGGUUACCUGGUUUAGGAUAAUGAACACUAUAAGACCAUGCUAGCACUAGAAUAUGUGCAUAGAGCACACACACAAAUGUAUUGGACCAUAACGGUGACAGUUGACGCCACUGUUAUAAGUAUACAGAAUGAACAUUAUUCAUCCCAUACAAUACAACAGAG